UAGUCUCGCACAGAUGCAUAUCAAUAAGCGGAGGAAAAGAAACUAACAAGGAUUCCCCUAGUAACGGCGAGUGAAGCGGGAAGAGCUCAAAUUUGAAAUCUUAAAGGGUUUCCCUUUACGAAUUGUAGUUUAAAGAAGUGUUUUCUGUUGAGGUUUUGGUAAAAGUUCUUUGGAAUAGGACAUCAUAGAGGGUGAGAAUCCCGUAUUUGACCUUUACUUUCAACUUUGUGAUACACUUUCAAAGAGUCGGAUUGUUUGGGAAUGCAGUCCAAAAUGGGUGGUAAAUUUCAUCUAAAGCUAAAUAUUGGCGAGAGGACCGAUAGCGAACAAGUACCGUGAGGGAAAGAUGAAAAGAACUUUGAAAAGAGAGUUAAACAGUACGUGAAAUUGUCAAAAGGGAAGCGUUUGACACCAGUGUUGUUUUUCUGAAAAUCAAUUAAAGAACUGUUUAUGCUAAGUUGUUUAGACUUUAUCAGCUAACUGUUUAGUUUUGAGCUUUUCUUUAAUGCACUUUUCAGUUAACAAGUCAACAUCAAUUUCUUUUGCUGUAAAAAAGCUUGAGGAAGGUGGCUUGAGAUUCGUCUUAAGUGUUUAUAGCCUCUUGCCUAUGCAGUCGGAGAGAUUGAGGUCUGCAGCGUAGAUCCUUCGGGGCUAAAUGCAUUUGUGCUAAGUUAUAACAUUUUAUAGACAACUUGUUGACUAUGAUUUGUCUUGUAGCUUACUCGCUUAUGUUAUUUUACCUACGCUUAGGAUGUUGAUCUGUAGUGCGUGCGC
rnacentral:rRNA from 1 species